GUGCAUGCGGCGUUUGGCAAGCACGCGCGGCUGCUGCUGUAAACAACAACAAAAUCUCGCACUGGAACAUACGUAUUCUGGACCCCGGCACUGUUGAAUAAGUGCUCUAUUUUUGGGUUUUUUGGCACCAUGGAACGAGAAACGUUAGAAAGCACUGUGUACGAGAUAACGAGAGGGGCAAAAACUUGGCACAAAGCAGUCAAACAACGAACCAACGGCGAACGGACGACCUCCUCCCCCCGGUGACAUGUACAAAGGAACAAAGUAACAGCAACAGUCGCAGACCACCGAACGGCUACUACGGGUGCCGGGUGGGAGCAAAUAAUAAUAUGGUCUACCGGGAGAGCAGAAGCAAACGAUUGGCACCGGGGCCCUACUACUUCGCCUUGCCGACCUUGAGCGCGCGCAUUACCUGCUCCUCCCGGAUCAGGGCCUGAAUUUUCUGCAGCGCCAGUAUCAGGCUGACCAGAUUGACCGCGUACGUGGUGACGCACACGACGCACAUGUCCUGCAGCACGAAGUAGAGCAGGUAGGCGAGGUAGAGCGACAGACCGUUGGACAGCAGUAUGAGGUAGCUGGUCAGCCGCGAGACGGCCAGAUUGUUGCUGAAGCUGAGGCCGGCCACCAGGAAGUAGUAGAAGAUGCCGUAGAACCCGUUCGGCACGUUCAGCAGCGAGUCGUCGCCGAGCAGCGGCCCGAUAAUGCCAAAGCCGCGCCCGUACCUGGAAAUGGAAAUGGAGAAAUGGCAAAAAGAGCAAUGGUUAGGGGGAGUUGGGGAAGGAGAAAAACUUCCUUUUUAUAGGAAACAGGAGGAUCAUUUUCUCUGCCAUUGCAGGAUUUACUUCGAGGAUCCGAAAACUACAGCUCUUGGUCUUUCGUCACCAAGAUGGUCCUAAUUAAUGAGAGGACCUGGUGCGCAGUGAAGGAGCUAGCUGAAGGUGAACCGGCAGUGAGCGAAGAAAUAUCCCAGCAAGCAUUGGCUACAAUAUGUCUCAGUAUUGAUUCAAGCAUAUAAGGACUGGUGCGGGAUGCUAAAAAUGCGAAGGAGGCGUGAGACAAUCUUCGAAACACUUCGUUAUUUGAAAGGGACGAAAACCAUGAAGCUUAUAUACAACAGUACAAGCAAUGAAACUUCAAAGGUUUUUGUGAUGCUGAUUGGAUCAAUGGCACUGAUAACCGUCAUUCUAUUACUGGUUAUGUGAAGAAGCAGUCUGGAGUUCCAGUUGCCUGGAAUUGCCGUAAACGAACUAAAUGCCGUAAAUAUGAACUGUGGAACUUUCGGCGACGGAAGCCGAAUAUAUUGCAGUUUAAGCAGUCACUCUGGAAGCAAUUUAUUGUGAUAAUCGGAUUGCUCCAUCUAGCAGAGAGGUAAAUUGCCUACUCACCCAGAAGUAAACAUAUCGAUAUACGACACCAUUUCGGCAGACAGAUCUUUGCAAGAAAACUAAUACAGCUGAAACAUGUUUGCUCUGAAAAUCAAGAAGCAGACUUGCUAACUAAGGUACUUCCUAUCAGCAAGAAUGAAGAUGGACGAGAGGCCCUUGGAAUUAAGUCAAUUCUGGAUUAAGGGAGGAUGUUAGAAUAGUAACCAUCGAAUUGAACUAACCUUUGGUUAUGUGUUAAUACAUUUUUACUCUGUGUUACACCUCCAAA